CCGCAUAGAUGCAUUCUUGAAACAAAAGUUUCCUGGAGAGGAUUGGAUAACCAAAAUGGUGGCAUCAAAAAAUGAUAAUGUGAGAAGGCCUAAGAUCUCAACUCCAAGACGUGCAUGACAACUUGGUGAUUUGCAUUCUUCGACAAAAGAUCUCAUGGACUGAAGAU